rnacentral:rRNA from 1 species
CCUACGGGAGGCAGCAGUAGGGAAUCUUCCACAAUGGGCGAAAGCCUGAUGGAGCAACGCCGCGUGGGUGAAGAAGGUCUUCGGAUCGUAAAACCCUGUUGUUAGAGAAGAAAGUGCGUGAGAGUAACUGUUCACGUUUCGACGGUAUCUAACCAGAAAGCCACGGCUAACUACGUGCCAGCAGCCGCGGUAAUACGUAGGUGGCAAGCGUUAUCCGGAUUUAUUGGGCGUAAAGGGAACGCAGGCGGUCUUUUAAGUCUGAUGUGAAAGCCUUCGGCUUAACCGGGGUAGUGCAUUGGAAACUGGGGGACGUGAGUGCAAAAGAGGAGAGUGGAACGCCAUGUGUAGCGGUGAAAUGCGUAGAUAUAUCGAAGAACACCAGUGGCGAAAGCAGCUCUCUGGUUUCUAACUGACGCUGAGGUUCGAAAGAGUGGGUAGCGAACAGGAUUAGAUACCCGAGUAGUC